AUUGAACGCUGGCGGCAUGCUUUACACAUGCAAGUCGAACGGUAACAGGCCGCAAGGUGCUGACGAGUGGCGAACGGGUGAGUAAUGCAUCGGAACGUGCCCCGUCGUGGGGGAUAACGCAGCGAAAGCUGUGCUAAUACCGCAUACGAUCUGUGGAUGAAAGCGGGGGACCGUAAGGCCUCGCGCGAUUGGAGCGGCCGAUGUCAGAUUAGGUAGUUGGUGGGGUAAAGGCUCACCAAGCCGACGAUCUGUAGCUGGUCUGAGAGGACGACCAGCCACACUGGGACUGAGACACGGCCCAGACUCCUACGGGAGGCAGCAGUGGGGAAUUUUGGACAAUGGGCGCAAGCCUGAUCCAGCAAUGCCGCGUGCAGGAAGAAGGCCUUCGGGUUGUAAACUGCUUUUGUACGGAGCGAAAAGGCUCUCUCUAAUACAGGGGGUUCAUGACGGUACCGUAAGAAUAAGCACCGGCUAACUACGUGCCAGCCGCCGCAGUAAAAC
rnacentral:rRNA from 1 species